rnacentral:rRNA from 1 species
AACAAACGCUGGCGGCGUGCCUAAUACAUGCAAGUCGAACGGGGAAAGCUUUCGGGUGAGUACUAGUGGCGCACGGGUGAGGAACGCGUGGAUAAUCUGCCUUAGAGUGGGGGAUAACUAGUCGAAAGAUUAGCUAAUACCGCAUAAGACCACAGGAGCUGCGGCUCAAGGGGUCAAAGGUUUUUCGCUCUAAGAUGAGUCCGCGUAAGAUUAGCUAGUUGGUGAGGUAACGGCUCACCAAGGCGACGACCUUUAACUGGUCUGAGAGGAUGAUCAGGCACACUGGAACUGAGACACGGUCCAGACUCCUACGGGAGGCAGCAGUAGGGAAUAUUGCACAAUGGAGGAAACUCUGAUGCAGCGACGCCGCGUGAGUGAUGAAGGCCUUCGGGUCGUAAAGCUCUGUCGCAGGGGAAUAACACAAUGAAGGUACCCUGUAAGAAAGGAUCGGCUAACUUCGUGCCAGCCGCCGCCGUAAUAC